rnacentral:rRNA from 1 species
GGGCCCGCACAAGCGGUGGAGCAUGUGGUUUAAUUCGAAGCAACGCGAAGAACCUUACCAGGUCUUGACAUCCCGCUGACCGCCUUGGAGACAAGGCUUUCCCUUCGGGGACAGCGGUGACAGGUGGUGCAUGGUUGUCGUCAGCUCGUGUCGUGAGAUGUUGGGUUAAGUCCCGCAACGAGCGCAACCCUUGAUCUUAGUUGCCAGCAUUCAGUUGGGCACUCUAAGGUGACUGCCGGUGACAAACCGGAGGAAGGUGGGGAUGACGUCAAAUCAUCAUGCCCCUUAUGACCUGGGCUACACACGUGCUACAAUGGACGGUACAAAGGGCUGCAAACCCGCGAGGGGGAGCCAAUCCCAGAAAACCGUUCUCAGUUCGGAUUGCAGGCUGCAACUCGCCUGCAUGAAGCCGGAAUCGCUAGUAAUCG